rnacentral:rRNA from 1 species
AAAUAGAUACCCGGGUAGUCCACGCCGUAAACGAUGAGUGCUAAGUGUUAGAGGGUUUCCGCCCUUUAGUGCUGCAGCUAACGCAUUAAAGCACUCCGCCUGGGGAGUACGGUCGCAAGACUGAAACUCAAAGGAAUUGACGGGGGCCCGCACAAGCGGUGGAGCAUGUGGUUUAAUUCGAAGCAACGCGAAGAACCUUACCAGGUCUUGACAUCCCACUGACCGGUAUAGAGAUAUACCUUCCCCUUCGGGGACAGUGGUGACAGGUGGUGCAUGGUUGUCGUCAGCUCGUGUCGUGAGAUGUUGGGUUAAGUCCCGCAACGAGCGCAACCCUUGAUCUUAGUUGCCAGCAUUUAGUUGGGCACUCUAAGGUGACUGCCGGUGACAAACCGGAGGAAGGUGGGGAUGACGUCAAAUCAUCAUGCCCCUUAUGACCUGGGCUACACACGUGCUACAAUGGAUGGUACAAAGGGCUGCAAGACUGCGAAGUCAAGCCAAUCCCAUAAAACCAUUCUCAGUUCGGAUUGCAGG